rnacentral:tRNA from 1 species
AGUAAGCUAGAUUAAGUGUAGAUUGCCUGUCUUCAAAACAGGCGGUGAGUUUAGAGCUCGCUUGCUG